UGUGGUUAGAGAGCUGAUGUGUGU
rnacentral:misc_RNA from 1 species